UCCCGCACAAGCAGCGGAGCGUGUGGUUUAAUUCGAUGCUACACGAAGAACCUUACCUGGGUUUGACAUAGAGGUAGUAGGGAAGCGAAAGCGGACCGACCUUCGGGAGCCUCUACAGGUGUUGCAUGGCUGUCGUCAGCUCGUGUCGUGAGAUGUUCGGUUAAGUCCGCUAACGAGCGCAACCCUCGCUGUGUGUUACAAGUGUCACACGGUACUGCCGAUAUUAAGUCGGAGGAAGGUGGGGAUGACGUCAAGUCAGCAUGACCUUUAUAUCCAGGGCUACACACACGCUACAAUGGCCAGUACAAUGGGUUGCCAAGCCGCGAGGCGGAGCCAAUCCUAAAAAGCUGGCCUCAGUUCAGAUUGCAGUCUGCAACUCGACUGCAUGAAGUUGGAGUUGCUAGUAACCGCAAGUCAGCAAUACUGCGGUGAAUACGUUCCCGGGGAUU
rnacentral:rRNA from 1 species